CGGCGGAGCCCUCGUUCUCAACGGCGGCGGAGCCUUCGUCCUCAAAAAAUGGUUGUGAGGGGAGCCCGUGGGCAUACUGAGAUGGAGCCCCCAGAUUCAACUUCGAAUAGAGGGGAUGCUGCCGCUCGGACCUUCGAAUUGACGGUCAAUUUCUUUCCAUCAAAGGCAAAAUUAGUUGAUGGUAGCAUUCAGAACAUUGAGAGAGACACAAUUGUUAAAUGGGAGGUUGAGUUUACAGAGAUUGAUC